CCUACGGGAGGCAGCAGUGGGGAAUAUUGCACAAUGGGGGAAACCCUGAUGCAGCAACGCCGCGUGAGUGAGGAAGUAUUUCGGUAUGUAAAGCUCUAUCAUCAGGGAAUAGAAAAGAUGGGACCUGAAAAAGAAGCACCGGCGAACUACGUGCCAGCAGCCGCGGUAAUAUGCAGGGGGCAAGCGUUAUCCGGAUUUACUGGGUGUAAAGGGAGCGUAGACGGAAAGGCAAGUCAGACGUGAAAGCCCAAGGCUCAACCAAGGUACUGCUUUUGAAACUGUCUAACUAGAGUGCGGGAGAGGUAAGAGGAAUUCCUAGUGUAGCGGUGAAAUGCGUAGAUAUUAGGAGGAACACCAGUGGCGAAGGCGGCUUACUGGACCGAAACUGACGUUGAGGCUCGAAAGCGUGGGUAGCAAACAGGAUUAGAUACCCGAGUAGUC
rnacentral:rRNA from 1 species